UAUAUAGAUAGAUAAUAAACUUUAUUGACCCUAGAGCCUUAGCUCCCUCAGGACCAUCAUAAUUAUACAUUAUAAUCAGUGUAAAAUACAGAGCAUAAAAACGAGUAGAACCAAAAUUACGGCAGAUUUCUUCCACCGAUAAAAAAAAGAAAAAAGGUAGUCAAGAUAUUAAAAAUCUGAAGAAGAAUC